rnacentral:rRNA from 1 species
AUGAACGCUAGCUACAGGCUUAACACAUGCAAGUCGAGGGGCAGCAUGGUCUUAGCUUGCUAAGGCCGAUGGCGACCGGCGCACGGGUGAGUAACACGUAUCCAACCUGCCGUCUACUCUUGGACAGCCUUCUGAAAGGAAGAUUAAUACAAGAUGGCAUCAUGAGUCCGCAUGUUCACAUGAUUAAAGGUAUUCCGGUAGACGAUGGGGAUGCGUUCCAUUAGAUAGUAGGCGGGGUAACGGCCCACCUAGUCUUCGAUGGAUAGGGGUUCUGAGAGGAAGGUCCCCCACAUUGGAACUGAGACACGGUCCAAACUCCUACGGGAGGCAGCAGUGAGGAAUAUUGGUCAAUGGGCGAGAGCCUGAACCAGCCAAGUAGCGUGAAGGAUGACUGCCCUAUGGGUUGUAAACUUCUUUUAUAAAGGAAUAAAGUCGGGUAUGGAUACCCGUUUGCAUGUACUUUAUGAAUAAGGAUCGGCUAACUCCGUGCCAGCAGCCGCGGUAAUACGGAGGAUCCGAGCGUUAUCCGGAUUUAUUGGGUUUAAAGGGAGCGUAGAUGGAUGUUUAAGUCAGUUGUGAAAGUUUGCGGCUCAACCGUAAAAUUGCAGUUGAUACUGGAUAUCUUGAGUGCAGUUGAGGCAGGCGGAAUUCGUGGUGUAGCGGUGAAAUGCUUAGAUAUCACGAAGAACUCCGAUUGCGAAGGCAGCCUGCUGGACUGUAACUGACGCUGAUGCUCGAAAGUGUGGGUAUCAAACAGGAUUAGAUACCCUGGUAGUCCAUGCCGUAAACGAUGAUUACUAGGUGUUGGGGGAUUGACCCCCUCAGUGCCGCAGUUAACACAAUAAGUAAUCCACCUGGGGAGUACGACCGCAAGGUUGAAACUCAAAGGAAUUGACGGGGGCCCGCACAAGCGGAGGAACAUGUGGUUUAAUUCGAUGAUACGCGAGGAACCUUACCCGGGCUUAAAUUGCAGAUGAAUUACGGUGAAAGCCGUAAGCCGCAAGGCAUCUGUGAAGGUGCUGCAUGGUUGUCGUCAGCUCGUGCCGUGAGGUGUCGGCUUAAGUGCCAUAACGAGCGCAACCCUUGUUGUCAGUUACUAACAGGUUCCGCUGAGGACUCUGACAAGACUGCCAUCGUAAGAUGUGAGGAAGGUGGGGAUGACGUCAAAUCAGCACGGCCCUUACGUCCGGGGCUACACACGUGUUACAAUGGGGGGUACAGAGGGCCGCUACCACGCGAGUGGAUGCCAAUCCCCAAAACCUCUCUCAGUUCGGACUGGAGUCUGCAACCCGACUCCACGAAGCUGGAUUCGCUAGUAAUCGCGCAUCAGCCACGGCGCGGUGAAUACGUUCCCGGGCCUUGUACACACCGCCCGUCAAGCCAUGGGAGCCGGGGGUACCUGAAGUGCGUAACCGCGAGGAGCGCCCUAGGGUAAAACUGGUGACUGGGGCU